AAUAUUUGGCACAUAGAAAUUAAAUUCCAAAUAUUUAAAUCACACAUAAUAUAUUCACCAAUUAAAUUUUCCAAAUAAAUUUGAAGGUGGGUCACUCACCUGGAGCACGCAAUUAAACCACGAUCCACUACGGGAUCAAUUCUAUGACUCACCGGUGCUCCGAAUCGAAGCUCGAGUGAUGCUGAUCACAGAUUCGGUCUCAAUUUUCAAGGAUCGUACCCGACGGGGUUUGAAUUUCGCCGGGAAGCUUUUCGGAUUUCGGCUCCACAAUUCUCCCAAACCGUCGCGAAUUGGCGGAAACGGAUGCUGGAUUCGGGUUCAGGAGGUCGAACACAGCGGACUGGAGCCGGCCGGAAAACUGGGUACUCGCCGGAACAGUACUUUCGGGCUAGCCGCCGCGGUCACCGGCAACCGUCGCCGGCGGCGGUGCGUGCGGUGGCCGUUGGUCAUGAAAUUUUGCAGACUUGUAGAUCGUGAGGAGAGCAAUCCAACGGGACCGGCGGUGAGCAAAACGGAGGCCUGACGGCGGAGAAAUCACCGUUUGAAGAUUUCCGGCCCGCCGGAAAACGCUCCGAUCCCGGCGCGUCGGUGGUCUGAUGGCCGUGAUUUUUGGUGGGUCGGCCGGACUUGAGGAGAGGAUGAUGGGUGUACGGCGCGUGUGCCCGGAAGUGGGUUGAUUUGCGGUGGCUGGCAGUGGAGGGGAAAAACUCGCCGCCGAUCUUCGGAGGUCCGAUCCGGGCGCGUCCGGCGGCCGUUCGCCGUGAAACUUGGAGGUUUUGCAGGAAAUGGGGAGGGCAACCUUGCUGGCCGGUGCGUGUACAGUAACUCAGCCGGAAAAUUUGAAAAUCUCCGGGGGCCGGCGACUCUCUCUCUCUCUCUUUCUCUCUCCUCUCUCUCUUUCUCUCUCUUCCCCGAGAGUUUUAACAAAUAAAAACCCCUGUGUGACACUGUUCAUGCCACGUGGACCAAUCAGAAGCUGACACGUGGCAUUACUGUGCACUUAAGCCAGAUAUAUUAAAAUAAUACGGUAUCCGGCGAAUUUCAAACGUCCAUAACUUUUUAACCAAGCGUCCGAUUCAAGCGUACCGCUAGUCUAUGAACUCUUAUCGACGAGUACUUUACAACCAUACAAGAGUCAACCCAAAAUUACAUCUCAAGAAAAAGUCAACUCCCAGCACCUUUUGGACAGUUUGAACCUCAGCUUGUUUUGCCCAUAACUUUCAAACCGUAGCUCCGUUUUUGACGUGCUACCAGUCUACGAACUCGUGCCAACGUAUACUUUGUAACGGUACCUUAGUCAACCUAGAAUUCCAACCGGGUCAAAAAGUCAACUUUUGACCCCUUUGGUCAACGGUCAAAGUCAAAGUCAACGGUUACCUCGGUCAACGUGCAAAAAUUCCGACAUGGUUCGGGACGGGGUGUUACACAUGAAAGGGGAGAACAACCAUGUAGUUGCUGUGAUAGGUGAUGGGGAAAUGACAGCAGGGCAAGCAUAUAAAGCCAGGAACCAACGCUGGUUACCUUGACACUAAUCUUAUCAUCAUUUUAAAUGAUAACAAAGAAGUCUUUCCCAACUGCCACUCUUGAUGGUCCUGCUCCUCCUCUGUUGGAGCUCUAAGCAAAGCCUUAACAAAGUUGCAUUCUAGUAGAAAGUUUCGUCAACUACGUGAAGCAGCAAAGCAGGCUAUUUCCACCCUUUAUGUGGUAUUACCAGCCAUUCUGGAGGAGCUGUUGAUUUAGCAAUUUCUAUUUCACCAUUAGCUAGGGCAAUUAAAAGCAUUACCCACAUCGUUUGAAAGAUAAGUGAAGUCGGCAAUUUGGAGGCCAAGCGCAUGAAAUUGCUGCAAAAGUUGACACCUAUAUUAGAGGGAUAUCGGGUGGUUCAGGGCUUCUUUGUUUGAAGAACUUGGACUGUACUAUAUUGGUCCAGUUGAUGGCCAUAACGUCGAAGAUCUUGUUGAUAUUUUGAACAAGGUUAAGGAAAUGCCAGCAUCAGACCCUGUUCUCAUACAUAUCAUCACAGAGAAAGGAAAUGGCCGUGCUCCAGCUGAAGUUGCUUCUGAUAAGAUGCAUGACAUGGUGAAAUUCGAACCCAGAUGGGGGAAGCAGUUGAAGGCCAAGUCGUCUACUCGUUCAUUUACCCAGUACAUUGCAGAGGCAGAGGCUGAUGAUAAAAUUGUGGCAAUUCAUGCUGCAAUGGGAGGUGGAACUGGACUCAAUUUAUUCCAGAAACAAUUUUCGGAAAGAUAUUUCGACGUUGGAAUAACAGACCACCAUGCUGUAACCUUUGCUGCAGGCCUAGCUACUGAAGGCUUGAAGCCUUUUUGUGCUGUUUACUCUUCUUUUCUGCAGAGAGGAUAUGAUCAGGUGUAUAUAUAUAUAAUUAGCUUCUCUUCUUUGGGACUUAUUUGGGAUUGAUCAGCUAUUUACUCUUCUUUUCUGCAGAGAGGAUACGUCGAACGAAUUUUCACAUUAUUUACCCCCCCCCCCCCCCCCCCCAAAAAAAAAAAAAAAAAAAAAAAAACUCUAUAUUUGGAUUACUUUUAAUAACUCUAUUUCCAUAUUACUCUACUUUGUUUUACAUUUACAAUGGGAAAAAGAAAAAGAAAACCUAUGUUUUGAUUAUACUCAGCAAAAUAAAUAAAUAAAUAAAAUUUUAUAUCUGGAUCCAUUUGUUACGGAGCAGGCAGAAAGAGAGAUGAGGUCCAAAUAUCUGUCCACAGCCCCUCAUAAAAUAUUCAUAAAAAAACAUGAGAGAGUUGGAAAGGACAAAACAGUGCAGCAAAUUACAGUGGAGAAGUCAAAUAAUUCCGUGGCAACAACGCCAUCAACUGUCGUAUGAGAUGAUUUGAUGCCAUAGGUUCUGAACAAACUUGAACCAUUGGAUUCUUUUACUUGCCUAAAAUUAAACAUAAUCAUCAUUGAUAUUUUUAGUUUUUAGAUUUAGAAGAUAAAUUAUAUAGUUAAUAGUUUAUUCAAUGUAUAUGGCUUAUUCUUUAAUGUUAUGCAAAGCCACGGUUUCCUAACACAA